GAAAACUGAGUAUUUCAAGAGACUUCGUUGGGAGUGCCCUCUCAGAUAUGAGGAAAGGUUGAGCAUUUUUGCAGGUCUGCCUGUCCGUGGAGGAUGGAGGUCGACAUAUAUAGGAGUCUACCUAACAACAAGUAGUAAUGUUAUUACUUUACCCUUCUUGGUCGUAGCAAUGUAAUGGGAGCUGCAAGUUUCACGUGUUUUAACUUUGUCAAAGCACUUUGAAAAAGUGGUAUGUGGUAUCUGGAAAGCUAAUGUUGCGUGUGAAGAUUGCAGACAAGCUUUAUCAAGGAAAUCUGGCUCUAGAAGUUCGGAGAGCGAUGCCUCUUCAGUUUUCGAACAAGCAAUCAUGUCGGGGAUCUGGCUCUUGAGAUUCAGAGAGCGGUGCCUCUUCGAUUUUUGAGAAAGCAAUCCUGUUGGGAGUCUGGAUCUUGAGAUUCGGAGAGUGGUGCCUCUUCGAUUUUUGAUAAAGUAAUCCUGUUGGGAGUCUGGCUUUCGAGAUUCGGAGGGCGGUGCCUCUUCGAUUUUUGAGCAAGUAAUAAUGCUAUUCUUUUACCCUUCUUAGUCAUAGCAAUGUAGCGAGAGCUGCAAGCUUCACAUGUUUUAACUUUGUCAGAGCACUUUGAAAAAGUGGUAUGUGGUAUCUAGAAAGCUGAUGUUGCGUGUGAAGAUUGUAGACAAGCUUUAUCCAAGGAAAUCUGG
rnacentral:lncRNA from 1 species